GUCUGGAGACUCGCUGCCCUGGCGCCGGCAGCUGCGGAGCUGCGACUCUGCUCUUUUGUCUGCCGCGUUGCCUGGUGCCCCCGGCCCUCACUAGCACCCACACGCUCGGGUGAGGUGGCUUUGACCCCGGGUGGCCCGGCCAGCUCGACCGAGGAGGUGGCUGGACAGCUGGAGAAUGAACGGAGAAGCGGACUGUCCCACAGACCUGGAAAUGGCCACCCCCAAAAGCCAAGACCGCUGGUCCCAGGAAGAUAUGCUGACUUUGCUGGAAUGCAUGAAGAACAAUCUUCCAUCCAAUGACUGCUCCAAGUUCAAAACCACACAGUCGCAUAUGGACUGGGAAAAAGUUGCAUUUAAGGAUUUUUCAGGAGAUAUGUGCAAGCUCAAAUGGGUGGAGAUUUCUAACAAGGUAAGGAAGUUCCGUACAUUGACAGAAUUGAUCCUCGAUGCUCAGGAACAUGUUAAAAACCCUUACAAAGGCAAAAAGCUCAAACACCCGGAUUUUCCAAAGAAGCCUCUCACCCCUUACUUCCGCUUCUUCAAGGAGAAGCGGGCCAAGUAUGCGAAGCUCCACCCAGAGAUGAGCAACCUGGACCUGACUAAGAUCCUGUCUAAGAAAUACAAGGAACUUCCAGAGAAGAAGAAGAUGAAAUAUAUUCAGGACUUCCAGAGGGAGAAACAGGAGUUCGAGCAAAAACUGGCCCGAUUCAGGGAGGAUCACCCUGACCUUAUCCAGAAUGCCAAGAAGUCGGACAUCCCCGAGAAGCCCAAAACUCCCCAGCAACUGUGGUACAUCCAUGAGAAGAAGGUGUAUCUCAAAGUGCGGCCUGAUGCCACUAUGAAGGAGGUGAAGGACUCCCUGGGGAAGCAGUGGUCUCAGCUCUCGGACAAAAAGAGGCUGAAAUGGAUUCAUAAGGCCCUGGAGCAGCGGAAGGAGUACGAGGAGAACAUGCGGGACUAUAUCCAGAAGCACCCUGAGCUGAACAUCAGGGAGGAAGGUAUCACCAAGUCCACCCUCACCAAGGCUGAGCGCCAGCUCAAGGACAAGUUUGAUGGGCGACCCACCAAGCCGCCUCUGAACAGCUACUCCCUGUACUGUGCCGAGCUCAUGGCCAACAUGAAGGAUGUGCCCAGCACAGAGCGCAUGGUGCUAUGCAGCCAGCAAUGGAAGCUGCUCUCUCAGAAGGAGAAAGAUGCGUAUCACAAGAAAUGUGACCAGAAAAAGAAAGAUUAUGAGGUGGAGCUGCUGCGGUUUCUUGAGAGCUUGCCCAAGGAAGAGCAGCAGCGGGUGUUGGAGGAGGAGAAGAUGCUGAACAUCAAUAAGAAGCAGACCACCAGUCUUGCCUCCAAGAAGCCUUCACAGGAAGGUGGCAAGGGUGGCUCCAAGAAGCCCAAGCCGCCUGUGUCUGCCAUGUCCAUCUUCUCGGAGGAGAAGCGAAGGCAGCUACAGGAGGAGCGACCUGAGCUCUCCGAAAGCGAGCUGACCCACCUGCUGGCCAGCAUGUGGAACGACUUGUCGGAGAAGAAGAAGGAUAAAUACAAGGCCAGGGAGGCUGCGCUGAAGGUGCAGACUGAGAGGAAGCCAGGCGGGGAGCGUGAAGAUAGGGGCAAGCUGCCCGAGUCGCCCAAGAGAGCUGAGGAAAUCUGGCAGCAGAGUGUCAUUGAAGACUAUCUAGCCCGCUUCAAGAAUGACAGGGUGAAAGCCUUGGAAGUCAUGGAGAUGACUUGGAACAACAUGGAGAAGAAGGAGAAGCUGAUGUGGAUUAAGAAGGCAGCUGAAGACCAAAAACGAUAUGAGAGAGAGUUAAGUGAGAUGCGGGUCCCUCCAGCUGCUACAAACUCUUCCAAGAAGAUGAAGUUCCAGGGGGAGCCCAAGAAACCUCCUAUGAACGGUUACCAGAAGUUCUCCCAGGAGCUGCUGUCCACUGGGGAGCUAAACCACCUGCGGCUGAAGGAGCGCAUGGUGGAGAUUGGCAGCCGCUGGCAGCGAAUCCCCCAGAGCCAGAAGGAGCACUAUAAGAGGCUGGCGGAGGAGCAACAGAGGCAGUACAAGGUGCACUUGGACCUCUGGGUCAAGAGCCUGUCUCCCCAGGACCGCGCAGCAUACAAAGAAUACAUCUCCAAUAAACGUAAGAGCAUGACCGAGCUCCGAGGCCCAAACCCCAAGUCUAGCCGGGCCACCCUGCAGUCCAAGUGGGAGUCCGAGGAGGAGGAUGAGGAUGAGGAUGAGGAAGAGGAGGUUGACAAUGAGGAGAAGGAAGAGGAAGACGAUGAGAAUGGUGACUCUUCUGAGGACAGUGACUCUUCUGAGGAUGGCGGGGACUCUUCUGAAUCGAGCAGCGAAGAUGAAAGCGAGGACGGGGAUGAGAAUGAUGAUGAUGAUGAUGAUGACGAUGACGACGAUGAGGAUGAAGACAACAAGUCUGAGGGCAGUAGCUCCAACUCUUCAUCUUCAGGGGACUCCUCGGAUUCUGACUCCAACUGAGGCUCAGCCUCCACCCCAGGCUGGCAGGCAGGCAGC